rnacentral:ncRNA from 1 species
CUUUGGACGACAUUUACUGUCCAAGGCGGAAGGAG